AGUCGAACGCGAAAGCUCCCUUCGGGGAGCAAGUAGAGUGGCGCACGGGUGAGUAACACGUAGGUAAUCUACCUUUGGAUGGGGAAUAACAACCGGAAACGGUUGCUAAUACCGCAUAAUGCAGCGGCACCUAAUGGUGACAGUUGUUAAAGCGGGGGAUCGUAAGACCUCGCGUCUGAAGAGGAGCCUGCGGCAGAUUAGCUAGUUGGUAAGGUAACGGCUUACCAAGGCGAUGAUCUGUAGCCGGCCUGAGAGGGCGGUCGGCCACACUGACACUGACAUACGGGUCAGACUCCUACGGGAGGCAGCAGUCGGGAAUUUUGGGCAAUGGGCGAAAGCCUGACCCAGCAACGCCGCGUGAAGGAUGAAAUCCCUCGGGAUGUAAACUUCGCAAGAACAGGAAGAAUAAGUCGGUGUAAAUACCACCGACGAUGACGGUACUGUUUGUAAGCUCCGGCUAACUCCGUGCCAGCAGCCGCGGUAAUACGGGGGGAGCAAGCGUUGUUCGGAUUUACUGGGCGUAAAGGGCGCGUAGGCGGCCUCUGCAAGUCGACUGUGAAAUCUCCGGGCUUAACCCGGAACGGUCAGCCGAUACUGCAGGGCUAGAGUGCAGAAGGGGCAACUGGAAUUCUCGGUGUAGCGGUGAAAUGCGUAGAUAUCGAGAGGAACACCUGCGGCGAAGGCGGGUUGCUGGGCUGACACUGACGCUGAGGCGCGAAAGCUAGGGGAGCGAACGGGAUUAGAUACCCCGGUAGUCCUAGCCUUAAACGAUGAAUGCUUGGUGUCUGGGGUUUUAUAGUCCCCGGGUGCCGUC
rnacentral:rRNA from 1 species